rnacentral:lncRNA from 10 species
CAAGUCUUUAGGUUCAAAGUACAGUUUGAUGGUUGGUUCCUGAACCUUGCUCAUUUCCACCAGCUGUUAAGGCUUGAGAAAUUUGGGAUAUGCAUCUCAUGUACAAUUAUACUGUUCUCUAUUUUAAAAGAUGCUGCAACUCACAGUGCUUGUAUUUUUGUGUUUAUUUCUUGCUAAAGAUAUCUUCGGAUAUAUAGCAUUUCGUACUUUUUAGCAGAACGAGUCGACCUGCAUUGAUUUGAGAUUCUGCCCGUCAGUAACUAAACGACCCUGACUUCAGAGCCCAUGCAGUCUCUUAAAAGCAGAGAUAAGAAGCCAGUCAUUAGACAGCAGAAACUGGAAAAGAAGAAGAAACAUAAGGGAGAGGUGAUCGGGCUGUAUAAAUUCCAUUCCGAGGCAUGAUCUCGCUCUGCGGCCCAGGCUGCCAGGCUGAAGUUAAAUGGCAUGAUCACAGCUCACUGCAGCCUUGAACUUCUGGGCUUAAGCAAUCCUCCCACCUCAGCCUUCCAAGUACCUGGAACUACAGGCCUGCACCACCACACCCAGCUAAUUUUGUUUUUAAUUUUUUGUAGAGACAAAGUCUCACUAUGUUGCCAAGGCUGAUCUCAAACUCCUGGCCUCAAGUGAUCUUCCCACCUCAUCCUUUCAAAAUGCCUAUAGCCAUCAUCCAUCAUGCGUGGCCCAGUCUUUCAUAUUCUUACAGAUGUGGGUGACCCCCAUGUUAUACUGGUGAGGAGGCUUAGGAAAUUAAUAUAAACUUGGAACUUAUGAAGUCUUUCUCAUAAGACUUUUUCACAGAAUCAGGUUUCAAUUUCUUCUCUCUCUCAACUUCCUGUGGCAUCUUGAAUGCUAUUUAUCAAUAAAAUCCCAUACAAUUCUGCAAAACAAAGACUGCUAACAUUCUUCUGUCUGGAUUUAUGAAGAUUAUACUUCUAAGAGAAAUCAAUCCUGGUAAGAAUAACCAGAAGUCCUGAAGGCCCAAAAUAGCUAGUGAGACUUGAUAAGGUCUUUUAUGAUUUGUUAGUUAGUGGGAAAAACUAGGAAAUUAGAAGAAUGUGAUUCGUUACAAGUUGCAUCUACUUCUUAAACACAGUUGAGCAAUAAUAAUUCGCUGAAAAAAAUCCUUGCUAAUUAAAAAAAUAAAAUGACAUGAAAUUUAUUUUAGAGUGAUUAUUUGUGUCAUCUGUAGGUUGCCGGAGUUUUGUGUUUUGCAUCCUAUAACAAAACAGAUGAAACAGAGGGUUAAGAGCCACAGAGGGAUGGUGACGCUCUGCAGGUGUGCUUUUCCAUCAGUUUUUAAUUAGGCUAUGGGUGAGGCACAUAAAUAGGAAGUGCUGAGGGUGAAUAUGGUCUUUUUAAAAAAGGAAACAGUGAAAGGACAGAAAUCUGUAAUCAUGAAGACAGACAAGUGGUACUCUGAUUUUCUGUAAUGUGGUUUUUGUCAUUUUAAUGCUUAAUAUUAAGAUUAAAUGUAUGCUAUGCUUGGAAGAAAAUCAUAUUUUUAUAAAUUUAAUUGAAAUAUUUGCAAUUUUUUAUGACUAUCUCUGGGCAAACCCUUAGCGUCAAAAGAAAGUAAAAAAUUAAAAAGGCUUGUUUAAAGGCACUUUCUUCUUUGUUAUGUAUGGCACUUUCCUGUCUUGAAAGAGAAUGUUGAAGGAAGUAAUGUCCCCGUGAAUGUCUGAUGAUAAUGUGCCCCUGUACUCAGGCCUUGCCUGGUGAAUAAUCU